GAUGAACGCUGGCGGCGUGCCUAAUACAUGCAAGUCGAACGAUUAAAGCACCUUCGGGCGUGUAUAAAGUGGCGAACGGCUGAGUAACACGUGGGCAAACUGCCCCCUUCAUUGGGAUAGCCACGGGAAACAGUGGAUAAUACCGAAUACUUCGAGACUUCCGCCUGGAAGACCAGAGAAAGCUCAGGCGGAGGGGGACGGGCCCGCGGCCUGUGAGCUUGCUGGUGGGGUAACGGCCUACAAAGGCAUUCACGGGUAGCCGGGUUGAGAACCCGACCAGGCAGAUCAGUACUGAGGCACGGCGCAGACGCGAAUGGGAGGCAACAGUCGGAAAUCUUACACAAUGAGGGAGCGCCUGUUGCAGCGACGCCGCGAGCGGAAAAAAGGCCUUCGAGUUGUAAACCACUUUCAGCAGGGACGAGGCGAAAGUGACGGUACCUACAGAAAAAGCCCCGGCUAACUACGUG
rnacentral:rRNA from 1 species